rnacentral:rRNA from 1 species
UGGGGAAUAUUGCGCAAUGGGCGAAAGCCUGACGCAGCGACGCCGCGUGAGGGAUGAAGGUUUUCGGAUCGUAAACCUCUGUCAGAAGGGAAGAAACCGCACUGUGCUAAUCAGCAGUUCCUUGACGGUACCUUCAAAGGAAGCACCGGCUAACUCCGUGCCAGCAGCCGCGGUAAUACGGAGGGUGCAAGCGUUAAUCGGAAUUACUGGGCGUAAAGCGCACGUAGGCUGCUUUGUAAGUCAGGGGUGAAAUCCCACGGCUCAACCGUGGAACUGCCUUUGAUACUGCUUAGCUUGAAUCCGGGAGAGGGUGGCGGAAUUCCAGGUGUAGGAGUGAAAUCCGUAGAUAUCUGGAGGAACAUCAGUGGCGAAGGCGGCCACCUGGACCGGUAUUGACGCUGAGGUGCGAAAGCGUGGGGAGCAAACAGG